rnacentral:tRNA from 1 species
GUUCUUAUAGUUGAAUACAACGAUGGCUUUUCGAGCCGUAGGUCUAGGUUAGAUUCCUAGUAGGAAUU